rnacentral:rRNA from 1 species
CUUAGUGGCGGACGGGUGAGUAACGCGGUGGGAACCUGCCCUGUACAGGGGGAUAACACUUAGAAAUAGGUGCUAAUACCGCAUAAGCGCACAGUAUCGCAUGAUACAGUGUGAAAAACUCCGGUGGUACAGGAUGGACCCGCGUCUGAUUAGCUGGUUGGCGGGGUAACGGCCCACCAAGGCGACGAUCAGUAGCCGGCCUGAGAGGGUGAACGGCCACAUUGGGACUGAGACACGGCCCAAACUCCUACGGAAGGCAGCAG